rnacentral:ncRNA from 23 species
UGCGAUGAGCCGAGAAGCCGACAUUUGUCGGUACCUCAAACAGCGGCAUAAGAGUAUAUGCUCACCUGCCGGAUUGCAGGAUGCCGGGUAAAUGUUUUUGUGGAAAGA